CUACAGAUGACAUCAGCCACUCCUCCAAAGGUGCUGUUAACAGCAAAGUUAACAGAACAAGCUCCAUCGCCACUUCAAGCGGAGAAUUCUUAAAAAGGGAGAGACAUGCUCCUUCUGCUUGGAGCGAAAAGGAGUUGAUUUGCGAUUAGAAUAUACUGCCCCUCACAGGACUGUGGAAGCUCUCAGCUGUUGCUUAUUACAUGAGCUUCAAUUUACUUCCAGAGAAGUCCACCAGACAGGUUAUCCUAGAGAAGACUGCCAUAAAGCUGAGGGUCUCUCUCUGUGCUUAUCCCUGCAGGUCAGGUUUGGAUCCCCUCUCAGUGCCUAAGACCUGCACAGCAUGAGCUGACAACAGAAGAUUCAGAAUCAACAAGAACAGGAGAGGGAAGAAGCCGGUUGGAGCUAACAUCAGCACUUGGGGAGACAAUGACAAUGACACCAAAAAAUCCUGACAGAGAUGAACAAGGAACCUAUCCCUGAAAAUCUGUUUUUUGCCAUAUUUGCAAAACUUAUCACAAACUCUAUGAUACUUUGUUGCAUCCUGAUACACCUGUUCCUGUCCCUUCCACCAUCUAUUGCCUUAACAGUUAUGCUUUGGAGCUAUAUUUGUGUUGAUUGUUCUCUUAACCACUUUUUGCUGUAUUCACGUUACCCUUAUGUGUCUCAUGGUGUCCACCGCAUCCUACGUGGGAAAGUCAUAUUGGCUCUUAAAACAAGUAAAGGGGAUAUGUGAGGGUAUGCAACCUGGAAGUAAGCAGUUAUCUGCAUGCCUGGUUAAUUACUCACUUGAGCUGGCCAACACCUACCUUAGAUUCUAGGGGCUCUGUGGAAACAUUUGCGGGGUACGGGAAACAUUCUGACCUUGGCUAGGUCAUGUGAUGCCUGUCUAUAUAAUAUUUAGGGCUUACACAUUAUCCUCUUUGAUGCAUACUCAGACAGCCUUCCUUAGAGUUGCAGAGGAGCAGCAUAAGUAAUCUAGCUAGAUCUAUGGCACAUAACAAGAUCACACAUGAUAGUAACAAGGUUGGAAAACAUACACAUUGAAGUGCUUAUCUCUAACUGUAGAACUUCAACCACAUCCUUGAAAGCUUGCAAAACAGUUCACGGUGCUUGGUAAAAUU